GGCGAUGACGAACCUCACGAUAGCUGAAGGGUGAUGAGGGGCAUACUGGCCGAGC
rnacentral:snoRNA from 1 species